rnacentral:tRNA from 1 species
GGAAUGGGUAUAGCUCAGUGGUAGAGCGCAUGCUUAGCAUGCAUGAGGUCCUGGGUUCAAUUCCCAGUACCUCCA